rnacentral:rRNA from 1 species
UACGAAGGGGACUAGCGUUGUUCGGAAUUACUGGGCGUAAAGCGCACGUAGGCGGAUUUGUAAGUCAGGGGUGAAAUCCCGGGGCUCAACCUCGGAACUGCCUUUGAUACUGCAAAUCUCGAGUCCGAUAGAGGUGGGUGGAAUUCCUAGUGUAGAGGUGAAAUUCGUAGAUAUUAGGAAGAACACCGGUGGCGAAGGCGGCCCACUGGAUCGGUACUGACGCUGAGGUGCGAAAGCGUGGGGAGCAAACAGGA